GACGACUCCACACCCCCCACUCCAUUUGGCCUGGCGCAAACCAUAAGACCAGGCGUUUAUUUUUUCUGUUUUAUCUGUAUUAUUUGGUUUUCUAUGUUAAUCCUAGUUCAAUGGUUUGAAUUGGUCUCAGCAGGAGGAAACAUGACGGACACAACAUUUCGACACACGGGACACCGUCUACCACUGGGGGGAGGUAAUAGCGAACCACGCUCCACCACACAACCAUGACAGCUAGUCUGACGUGCAUCUCAAUCAAUUGUAAAGGGCUGAAUAACCCCGCCAAACGACACCGACUCAUGAGAUGGGCAAACUGCAGUAAAGCUGAUAUACUCCUACUACAGGAGACACACUAUGCAGACACACGGCCUUUCCCUCUCCUGAGCCGCCACUUCCAGGCUUGCUACUUCGCCAACUCCAACUCAGGCAAACACAAUGGAGUGGCGAUUCUCCUAAGGAAAACUUGCCCCCUCCAGAUUGCCACCACACACAGGGACCCCAACGGCCGCUUCCUUACGGUGGCGGGCACAAUAGGCCCAACCAAAUACGCGAUCACCUCGGUCUAUGGCCCCACAACCCCGGACCCGGGAUUCUGGCCUACUCUACGUGCACAUCUCAGCUUACACCCAAACUCCCACCAGAUUAUAGGCGGGGAUUUAAAUGCCGCGAUUGAGCCACUGGCAGAUAGACUCAAACGACCACCACAGACUCCAGCACCGACCAGAAACGACAAAUUCAUGGCAGACUUCAUUUCCACUACCAAACUGAUAGAUGUCUGGAGACUGCAGCACCCCUCCACACUAGACUACACCUUUUAUUCCCACCCACACCAAAC